AAACUUUCAACAACGGAUCUCUUGGUUCUGGCAUCGAUGAAGAGCGCAGCGAAAUGCGAUAAGUAAUGUGAAUUGCAGAAUUCAGUGAAUCAUCGAAUCUUUGAACGCACAUUGCGCCCCUUGGUAUUCCGAGGGGCAUGCCUGUUCGAGCGUCAUUU
rnacentral:rRNA from 1 species